rnacentral:piRNA from 1 species
UGACACGGCUCUUGAUGAGAG